UACAGAGGGGGCAAGCGUUGUUCGGAAUUACUGGGCGUAAAGGGCUCGUAGGCGGCCAACUAAGUCAGACGUGAAAUCCCUGGGCUCAACUUGGGAACUGCAUCCGAUACUGGAUGGCUUGAAUUCGGGAGAGGGAUGCAGAAUUCCAGGUGUAGCGGUGAAAUGCGUAGAUAUCUGGAGGAAUACCGGUGGCGAAGGCGGCAUCCUGGACCGACAUUGACGCUGAGGAGCGAAAGCUAGGGGAGCAAACGGG
rnacentral:rRNA from 1 species